rnacentral:rRNA from 1 species
GUUGGCUUGGAAGCAGCCAUUCAUUCAAAGAGUGCGUAACAGCUCACUAGUCGAGAGACCGGGCAUGGAUAAUAAUCGGGUAUUAAGUCAGAUACCGAAGGCACGGGGUAGCAGAGUAAUGAAAAGUACCGGUAGGGGAGCAUUCCACCUCCGUCGAAUGGUUUCCGUGAGGAUUCCUGGAGGGCGUGGAAAAGCAAAUGUAGGCAUAAGUAACGACUAGGGGCGUGAGAACCGCCCCCGCCGCAAGUCUAAGGUUUCCCGGGCGAUGCCAGUCAGCCCGGGGUCAGUCGGGUCCUAAGGCUCAGCCGAACGGCGAGGCCGAUGGCAGACACGGUUAAUAUUCCGUGACCCUCUGCUGGAGCGACGUGGAGACGGAGCAGUGACACCACCGCGCCCUGACGGAAUAGGGCGUUGAAGGCCGUAGGUGCUGACGGAGGCAGGCAAAUCCACCUCCAGAGCUGAAAGCCGACAGUACGCUUCCUCCUUCGGGAGGCGGCGACAGCGUGGGUAAGCAUACUUCCUAGAAAAUCCGCUAAGCAUAUCCAUCGGAGGCCCGUACCGCAAUCCGACACAGGUAGACGGGUAGAACAUACUGAGGCGUUGGGAGAUUCAUGGCUAAGGAACUAGGCAAACUGACCCCGUAACUUCGGGAUAAGGGGUCCUCACGGCAACGUGAGGCGCAGAGAAUAGGCCCAGGCAACUGUUUAACAAAAACACAGGGCUGUGCAAACUCGAAAGAUGAUGUAUACAGCCUGACACCUGCCCGGUGCCGGAAGGUUAAGAGGAGGAGUCAGCCCCUUGUGGGUGAAGCCCCGAGUUGAAGCCCCGGUAAACGGCGGCCGUAACUAUAACGGUCCUAAGGUAGCGAAAUUCCUUGUCGGGUAAGUUCCGACCUGCACGAAUGGUGUAAUGAUCCGGACGCUGUCUCAACCAUGAGCUCAGUGAAAUUGUAGUAUCGGUGAAGAUGCCGAUUACCCGCGAUGGGACGAAAAGACCCCGUGAACCUUUACUACAGCUUAGCGCUGACCUUGGUCAUCCGAUGUGUAGGAUAGGCCGGAGGCUUCGAAGCGGGGACGCCAGUCUUCGUGGAGCCGCCCUUGAAAUACGGCCCUUUGGCUGUCCGAGGUCUAACGCGCUUUUUGCGCGGACACCGCUUGGCGGGUAGUUUGACUGGGGUGGUCGCCUCCAAAAGUGUAACGGAGGCUUCCAAAGGUGCCCUCAGGCCGAUUGGUAACCGGCCUCUAGAGUGCAAUGGCAUAAGGGCGCUUGACUGGGAGGGAGACAUCCCGAGCAGGCAGGAAACUGGGGCAUAGUGAUCCGGCGGACGCGUAUGGAAGCUCCGUCGCUCAAAGGAUAAAAGGUACUCCGGGGAUAACAGGCUGAUCCCCCCCA